UACCAGCUGCAUCUGAAGUGGGAACUUCGGACGCAGUUGCUUAUUAUUUUUCUUUUUUAAUUUUUAAUUUUUUAGUUAAAAUGUUAGAUCUGAUCUCAAUGUCGCCAUCGCCACUCGAUGGGCCAACGCAGAUAUGCACCAAUCGACUCCCCGUCGCCACUCCACGGCCAAAGCCGCCGCCGUCUCCACUCCCACCCGUCGUUCCCUCCUUCAAUCUGCAAAUGAUGUCGUUUCGGAACGCCGCGCCACUCUAUAGCCGAGACCAACGCUGCCUCCCCUGCCGAUCUACUUUGUCGAGAUCUCCACGGUCUCCACCACCGCAACGCAACCACCGGCUCCCCUGCGACGCCGACGCAACCACCGCCACCGCCUCCACCUUAGCUACCGUCGUCCACGUAUUCCCGAUCAGCAGGAUGUGUGUUAGUGCUCCUUGUACUUAAGGAGAACCACUCAUUCUAGAAUGCACCAGGCCUUGAAAUUCCAUCAAGGGAAGGUAUUCUUUACUUCCUCUAUAAUUUCUACCCGAUAUAAUGCUUUGCUUGAGACAUUUUUGUUUAGAAACAGUGUUGAUUCUGAACUGUUUCUUGAUAUGCAACUUUAUGCUUCCAUACAUCUUUGAACCAAUGAAAUCUAGAGCAAGAAGAUUGACUAAAGCCAUGUAUAUCAGAAGGGCAGCAGAUGAUGCAUCCAGCAGCCCCACGGUAAUCAAUAGUUUUACAGUAUAGUGACACUGCAAUAACAUAAAGCUGGAGGCUUAUCCUUUUUGACUGAAAGUGGUAAAUCUUAAUUUUACCACAUAGUAUCAUUGAAUUGAAUUACUCCUUAAUAGCAUAGUUUUGCCGAA